rnacentral:rRNA from 1 species
CCUACGGGGGGCUGCAGUGAGGAAUAUUGGGCAAUGGGCGAAAGCCUGACCCAGCAACGCCGCGUGAAGGAUGAAGGCCUUCGGGUUGUAAACUUCUUUUAUGGGGGAAGAGCAAGGACGGUACCCCAGGAAUAAGUCACGGCUAACUACGUGCCAGCAGCCGCGGUAAUACGUAGGUGACAAGCGUUAUCCGGAAUUACUGGGCGUAAAGCGCACGCAGGCGGCUGCUUAAGUCUGACGUGAAAUCUCCUGGCUUAACUGGGAGGGGUCGUUGGAGACUGAGCGGCUUGAGGCAACGAGAGGGGUGUAGAAUUCCCGGUGUAGUGGUGGAAUGCGUAGAUAUCGGGAGGAAUACCAGAGGCGAAAGCGACACCCUGGCGUUGGACUGACGCUCAUGUGCGAAAGCGUGGGGAGCGAACGGGCUUAGAUACCCGGGUAGUC